rnacentral:rRNA from 1 species
AACGAACGCUGGCGGCAUGCCUAACACAUGCCAGUCGAACGAGACCUUCGGGUCUAGUGGCGCACGGGUGCGUAACGCGUUGGAACCUGCCCUUAGGUUCGGAAUAACUCCCCGAAAGGGGUGCUAAUACCGGAUCAUGUCUUCGGACCAAAGAUUUAUCGCCUCUGGAUGGGCCCGCGUUGGAUUAGCUAGUUGGUAGGGUAAAAGCCUACCAAGGCGACGAUACAUAGCUGGUCUGAGAGGAUGGUCAGCCACACUGGGACUGAGACACGGCCCAGACUCCUACGGGAGGGAGCAGUGGGGAAUAUUGGAAAGUGGGGGAAGGCAUGAUCGAGCAAUGACGGGUGAGUGAUGAAGGCCUUAGGGUUGUAAAGCUAUUUUACCCGGGAUGAUAAUGACAGUACCGGGAGAAUAAGCUCCGGCUAACUCCGUG